GGAUUCCCCUAGUAACUGCGAGUGAACCGGGAAAAGCUCAAAUUUUGAAUCUGGCGGUCUAAGGGCCGUCCGAGUUGUAAUCUAGAGAAGCGUCUUCCGCGCUGGACCGUGUAUAAGUUUCCUGGAAUGGAACGUCGUAGAGGGUGACAAUCCCGUCUUUGACACGGACUCCCAGUGCUAUGUGAUGCGCUCUCGACGAGUCGAGUUGUUUGGGAAUGCAGCUCAAAUAGGGUGGUAAAUUCCAUCUAAAGCUAAAUACAGGCGAGAGACCGAUAGCGAACAAGUACCGUGAGGGAAAGAUGAAAAGAACUUUGGAAAGAGAGUUAAACAGUACGUGAAAUUGCUGAAAGGGAAACGCUUGAUGUCAGUCGCAUCGUCCGGGGAUCAGCCUCGCUCUUUUGCUCGGCGUACUUCCUGGUCGAUGGGUCAGCAUCGGUUUCGACCGUCGGAAAAUGGCUCGAGGAACGUGGCACUCUUCGGGGUGUGUUAUAGCCUCGAGUCGAAUACGACGGUCGGGACCGAGGAACUCAGCACGACCUUCGGGUUCGGGGCUUCGGCUCACGUUCGCGUGCUUAGGAUGCUGGCAUAAUGCUU
rnacentral:rRNA from 1 species